UGUGUUGUUGAAAGAAGAGCCAUCUGUAAUAAUGUGCAAGCAGCAUUAGGUGCAUAUAACGAAGGAGCUUUGGUGGUUUCUGAAGAAACUACAACAUUAGAUGUAUUUGAGAUGGAUACGGUUGAGGUGAUUAUCUCCGACCCACAUCACAAGUAUUUUGACGCAGACUAGGUUUAUUUGAUGAAAAAUAUUUUAAUAUCAGUCAU
rnacentral:lncRNA from 1 species